rnacentral:rRNA from 1 species
GAGAGAGAGACAUGCGCGCAUAUCAAUAAGCGGAGGAAAAGAAACUAACAAGGAUUCCCUUAGUAACGGCGAGUGAAGCGGGAAGAGCUCAAAUUUGAAAUCUUCAAGGUUUUACCUUGACGAAUUGUAGUUUAAAGAAGUGUUUUCUGCUGAAGUUUUGGUAAAAGUUCUUUGGAAUAGGACAUCAUAGAGGGUGAGAAUCCCGUAUUUGACCAUUAUUUUCAGCUUUGUGAUACACUUUCAAAGAGUCGGAUUGUUUGGGAAUGCAGUCCAAAAUGGGUGGUAAAUUUCAUCUAAAGCUAAAUAUUGGCGAGAGACCGAUAGCGAACAAGUACCGUGAGGGAAAGAUGAAAAGAACUUUGAAAAGAGAGUUAAACAGUACGUGAAGUUGUCAAAAGGGAAGCGUUUGACACCAGUGUUGUUUUCUCGAAAAUCAAUUAAAAAUGGCUCGAUUUUGUAUUGCUUGAGACCUUAAAAGCUCACUGUACAUUUUUCGUGUCUUUUUUAAUGCACUUUUCGUUUAACAAGUCAACAUCAGUUUCUUUUGUUGUAAAAGGGUCAUUGGAAGGUGGCUUUCUUUUCGGAGAAAGUGUUUAUAGCCUUUGGCCUCUGCAAUCGAAGAGACUGAGGUCUGCAGCGUAGACUCUGCGGGGUUAGAUACAUUUGCGCUAAGUUAUAGCUUUUUAUAGACAACUUGUUGACUAUAAUUAGUCUUGUAGCUUACUCGCUUAUGCUAUUUUACCUACGCUUAGGAUGUUGAAGAUGUAGCACAUCAU